CCGCACAAUGGGAAGACACCCGCUGACCUCUGACGGAGUUCCCUACCCUCCAAGAAAGGGCCUUUUCAGAUACUUACGAAAGAAGCCGCGAGGCUUUUUCUGAGGCGCCGUGCUUUGGCAUUUACCCCCAGUUCGCUAAUGGCAAAGAAUCUGAAGCAGUGAACUAUCUCCAUCCCUAGCCCCAUAUGUCUGAGCAGUGUCCAGCCCUGGUUUCACUCCAAAGGGAGAAAAAAAACGAGUGAGGAUUAGUAAAGCUUAAGUAAGUCAGAAUAAACAAUGGGAGUGAAGUGAAGAAGAGAAAUGGAAUUGAAGGAGAACUGGACGACAGUUUGCAAUAAAGGAGUAAAACUUC